rnacentral:rRNA from 1 species
AGGCCACGAUGGGUAACCGGUCUGAGAGGGCGAACGGUCACACUGGAAAUGAGACACGGUCCAGACUCCUACGGGAGGCAGCAGUGGGGAAUAUUGCGCAAUGGGGGCAACCCUGACGCAGCAAUACCGCGUGAGUGGAGAAGGUUUUCGGAUCGUAAAGCUCUGUUAUUGGGGAAGAAAAAAAGACGGUACCCAAGAAGAAAGUUCCGGCUAACUACGUGCCAGCAGCCGCGGUAAUACGUAGGGAACAAGCGUUGUCCGGAUUUACUGGGCGUAAAGGGCACGCAGGCGGUUUUUUAAGUCAGAUGUGAAAGGCCACAGCUCAACUGUGGACAUGCAUUUGAAACUGAAAGACUUGAGUAUUGGAGAGGCAAGUGGAAUUCCUAGUGUAGCGGUGAAAUGCGUAGAUAUUGGGAGGAACACCGGUGGCGAAGGCGGCUUGCUG